GACGAACGCUGGCGGCGUGCCUAAUACAUGCAAGUAGAACGCAGUUGCGAAAGGGUGAGUAACGCGUAGGUAAAUGCCUCAUAGCGGGGGAGAACUAUUGGAGACGAUAGCUCAUACCGCAUACUGUACGCUAGACCUGCGUUGGAUUAGCUAGUUGGUGAGGUAAAGGCUCCCCAAGGCGACGAUACAUAGCCGACCUGAGAGGGUGAUCGGCCACACUGGGACUGAGACACGGCCCAGACUCCUACGGGAGGCAGCAGUAGGGAAUCUUCGGCAAUGGACGGAAGUCUGACCGAGCAACGCCGCGUGAGUGAUGAAGGUUUUCGGAUCGUAAAGCUCUGUUGUUAGGGAAGCGGUACCGAACCAGAAAGGGACGGCUAACUACGUGCCAGCAGCCGCGGUAAUUU
rnacentral:rRNA from 1 species